AUGUAUUUUCUUAAGAAUAACUCCAGAGGAAGCUGGAAGGGCUGCGGCGAAGCCCAGGCAGAAGGCACUGUGAAGUCGCUGGGAGGGCAUGACGUGCAGUCCGUGAACUUGCGUAAGUCUGCACUCCAGGAGCUGUCCCGAGGGCUGGGCUGGUGCCUGGCACCUGCUCUUGGGUGGAGGCGCCCAGGAGCGCCCGCUCCAGUCCCAGCACCAGGAGCUGCCGGAGCGGCGCGAGCCUCGGGCUUGGAACCAUGAAAACCAGAUCAAGGCUUUGACAGUGGAUACCUCUGGAAAGUGGAAUUGGG
rnacentral:lncRNA from 1 species